rnacentral:rRNA from 1 species
UGGGGAAUAUUGGACAAUGGGCGAAAGCCUGAUCCAGCCAUGCCGCGUGUGUGAAGAAGGUCUUCGGAUUGUAAAGCACUUUAAGUUGGGAGGAAGGGCAUUAACCUAAUACGUUAGUGUUUUGACGUUACCGACAGAAUAAGCACCGGCUAACUCUGUGCCAGCAGCCGCGGUAAUACAGAGGGUGCAAGCGUUAAUCGGAAUUACUGGGCGUAAAGCGCGCGUAGAUGGUUUGUUAAGUUGGAUGUGAAAUCCCCGGGCUCAACCUGGGAACUGCAUUCAAAACUGACGGACUAGAGUAUGGUAGAUGGUGGUUGAAUUUCCUGUGUAGCGGUGAAAUGCGUAGAUAUAGGAAGGAACACCAGUGGCGAAGGCGACCACCUGGACUAAUACUGACACUGAGGUGCGAAAGCGUGGGGAGCAAACA